GUGAGUUUACUGAGGUGCUGGAAUGACUCGAAAUCAUUCAGUUGAUCCAGGGCCCGGAUGCACGCCGGUUCUACCGCCAGCAGUUCUUC
rnacentral:tRNA from 1 species